rfam:Trichobilharzia regenti genome assembly, scaffold: TRE_scaffold0000478
GUACUGUUGAGGAGUCCCAAACUAGACGAAACAGCUGUCCAGUAC